rnacentral:lncRNA from 1 species
UCCCACCCACCCUAAUUUAUGUUUUGUUUUUGUUUUGUUUUUUGUUUUGUUUUGUCACAGCUAGCGGGGAGCAUGUCCUUGCCAACAGGGUUGGGGAGCAGAUGGAAUGUCAGGAGAUGGACAAGGUGGGUCUCAACCUCCCCUGCUCUGUAAGGUAAACUUUCAAGUUACCGAAUUGGAAGUGCCCACCGAGCUAAGAGCCGGCUGGUGGUUAGAGCAUUUAAGAUGAUGGGAAUUUGGUUUGGACGAGGGGGGAGGCGAGACACCAGUGGGUAAAGUUUUUGGUGCAUAGGCACCUAGUUAAGUUCGUUGGCAAGGACGGUUAUUUAAGUUGAAGGCUGUAGGGCUAUAAGUGUUAAUUUAUUGUUAAUUAUGGUAUGUAUAUAUAUUUAUGUGUUUAUCUAUAUUGGAAUUAGAGGAAAAGAAUGAAGUUCGGAUGUGUCCUACAGUUGUAAGUUUUAAUAAAUGCUGUGACCUGUUUCAUCCAAUAUGCAUUGUCUGUCAUUAUUGGGGGGAUAAGUGGGUAGUCUUUCUUUUAGUCGCACCACAUUCCCCGCUACGUACAUACAUGUAUUUUUAAUACAAAGUCAUGUGUUGUUUAAGACUUUCAGCAGCAUCGCUAGUCACCAAGAAAGAGGGAGAUUUACAUUGAGAUAUACACAUUAGAGAAAUAUGUCUUUGCAUAAAAAGAUUCUACAAAAAUUGUGCGUGGAACGGAGGCGCAGCAUGUAGUCCUGUGGAGCUGCCUUCACUGGCAACAAAAGCAGGAAGCUUUUUGCAACAAAAAACAAACGCUCUCGAUGAGUCAUUCAGGAAAUGUAAACCUCAAUAUAUCCUGUAGAGAAGGAAGGCAAUCUGAAUUAUAUUCCGCACAUAAUAUUAGUAUGUAGAACAGGCCUGAAGAUAAUCCACAGAAUGAUAUAGAGAUUAAUUACUAAAACAUGGUGGACUCUAACAAAGAAGCUGGUUAUUAAAACCCAAGUUGAGAAGCUUAAACUGAGAGGUUGAGUCCUAAAAGUCCUGUAAUGUUCUGUAAUGAGUUUUCCCUUUUCUUUGUCUCUGCUUCAAAUUGACUGUUGGGAAAGGGCUGCUGGACGGAGGCUGAGUGCCAAAUAGACAAGGUGAAUGGCAGCUUCAUUUAUCCAGGGCUGUAAAACACAACUCACACUGACAGACAGAUACAGACUCAGAGCAAUGUUAGUCUACACUCAGCAGCUUCAUGAUCACACAUAGCUCUAGCCGACAGACACAUAAUUCCCUGGGAGAGACACACUCACAGUCUGAGUCCAAAGGCAAACGUUCCAGAAAGAUUUAGCUUCAGACAUUACUUUUGUCCAAGAUGAGCUAUUAUCAUACUUUUAUUGUAAUGCACCAACACAUUCUGCCGUGCUGCUCAUGGUUACAAUUGGUACAAGUAAAAAGACAAAGGUACAAUACAUCUAACAGACAAAAUAAAAUUUGACAAACAAAUAUAAGAGGAGUUGAGGAUCCUAUUUCUAUGGGAACGAACAAUCUAGAUGGAUCUUCAGUUUCACCUCAUUAAAAUAUAACUUGAAUUUAGAGUUGUGUUUCUUGCAUAAUAUGUAACAUAAUCAUAUAUAAAAUGUAACAAGACUGCACAUUAACACAGUGAUCGCUGCAUCUCCCUUGAAACAACCAUCAGCUGAAAACUUUUGGAAGUGGGUUCCAACUCGCCCUGCAGUUCAUUAUAAGCAGCGGCUCCUGUGUGGUCAAUGUCUCCAGCUAUCGGGCAGCAAUGAGGACUGUACAGCACUGUCUCACUGUCGAGAACAUUCAGAGACGAUCUGCACAGCAGCUCUGUAACUACAGCUUCACUCAUCCAUGGCUGUUUAACAAUCCUCGCACUUAGCCAGGGCUGUAUAAUAGGAAACCCACUAAAAGCUGUGCUCAGAGCCCCAUCAUAUGAUAAAAAUGUCCUGUUUGUAGUCUUUUCCUGGUGUCCUUUACAUUGGAUCUUCCCCUGGUCACAAUUUGUGUUCACUGUGUUCUCUCUCACGUCUCUGCUGGUGAAUGUUUAAUGUCUGAGCUUUCAGUCUAGUGUGAGAGUUGAAGCUGGCAGGGACUUCCCCUAAACCUCGCCUCUCCUGAAAGCAAGCAUAGCAGUCACAGAAUAACAGCAUAAAUCUGCUCCGGAGCUUCAUUCCCUGCUCCGGAGCUUCUCUUUAACUUUAAUAUUUCUCUUUAACUUGACGUCUUAUGUGCAGAUUUCAAUAUACUGGGGUGUGAUCUACGGAUCAUGCUACCAUACUAAUGAAUAUCACAUAGAGGUUCUGAACCACAAACUGGCUACUGUUAA